GAGCCAGACUCCUACGGGAGGCAGCAGUGGGGAAUAUUGCACAAUGGGGGAAACCCUGAUGCAGCGACGCCGCGUGAGCGAAGAAGUAUUUCGGUAUGUAAAGCUCUAUCAGCAGGGAAGAAAUUGACGGUACCUGAGUAAGAAGCUCCGGCUAAAUACGUGCCAGCAGCCGCGGUAAUACGUAUGGAGCAAGCGUUAUCCGGAUUUACUGGGUGUAAAGGGGGCGCAGACGGCAGCGCAAGCCAGGAGUGAAAGCCCGGGGCCCAACCCCGGGACUGCUCUUGGAACUGCGCGGCUGGAGUGCAGGAGGGGCAGGCGGAAUUCCUGGUGUAGCGGUGAAAUGCGUAGAUAUCAGGAGGAACACCGGUGGCGAAGGCGGCCUGCUGGACUGCGACUGACGUUGAGGCCCGAAAGCGUGGGGAGCAAACAGGAUUAGAUACCCCAGUAC
rnacentral:rRNA from 1 species